rfam:Gasterosteus aculeatus cont1.001740, whole genome shotgun sequence.
UAAAAGGCUCUUUUAAGAGCCACCCAAUCCUAAACAGCUUUUAUCU